rnacentral:lncRNA from 1 species
CCGUGCAACUUUUUCAGAUUUCUUUUAGCAUUUAGAAAUGUGUUUUUUAAAGUGGGUUCAUCCAUACACUUGUCGUGAGAGUUUAGAUUAUUUUCUUUUCUUCGGAGUGGUACAUAACCCCACGCACGUCACGGCUCACAUACAGCACAGGCUAGGCCCACUCCACCUGCCGGUUGUCUGGUGACGUCGUCAGCGACGGAGCCAUGACACUGUUUUGAGCCCAAAGAAUUGCCUCCGUUUUGCAUCACUUGGAUUACCUCCAUGCAGUCUGCUUCUAUCUGAGCUUGUUGCAGGCUUGCAGCUCACGUUGGUCGCCAAAAGCAAGCCGUCCCUGAGUCCCGAUCUUGCCGGUUCGAGCAACUUCUCGACAUGCGAGAAUUUCCUUCUCUCCCACCAGAUAUACCAAAUGGUUGUGAUAAUCAAUAUCUCGCAAUCAAUACCCGGAACUAGGGGCGCCAGGCCAUUAAGUGUACACAAUCGCGAUCAGUUUGGCACAUAUCAUUGGCCAUCUGUUGUAGACCCAAUAUUCUCCAGAUUUCAUUCACACGAGGACACAGGAAUAGAGCAUGCCCAACACUCUCGCAAUCACAAGUACAAAGAGGGCCAUUGUGAGCUUGUUAUCAUGUCUCUGUUGGAAAGAACUCCAAGGCAUUGGUAACUCUGGUAACUUUAGCACUGAUAGUAUUUUAACUAUAAAAUAUGCAGCCUGUAAGAACAUCGUAACUGUGUUGGUACCUAUAACAUGAGUAACAGUGGCGGAGCUUCAGCAAGGCUACAUGGACCAUGGCCCGCCCAGCUUUGCACCACCUCCUCCUAUUAUAGCCGGCCCAUGGGCCGGGGAAAAACCAAUUUCAUGCAAUUUAGCCUACCCAGCCCGCCCAGGAAUUUGCUGCAAGCUCCGCCACUGAUGAGUAACAUGAUAAAUAAAUGUACCGUGUGCAAUUUGGUAACGUGUACUAAAUCAACAACACUUAUUUUUGGGACGAACGGAGUAUAACAUAUGGAUCCUGGUAACUACGUAGUAAUCAUGACAUUCAACUUGCUGCUACCCACUUGCCAUCUGAAAUUGCUCUUGAAAUCAUAGUUAUGGAAUGCUGGAACAUUUGGGUUCAUAGAAAUAACAAGAUUUUCAGUAACAUCACUCCAAGCUCUGCCUCAUGGAAAGUCCUCCUCAAGCAAGAUCUCAAGAUUAUUUGUUAUAGAAUCAAAGAAAGAAAACUUCAAACAUUUCACGACUGGAUUGAUAUAUAGUUCCCUUCGAGUCCACUUGAUCUUUGAUGUUUCCAAAGCUAGGAAUUGGCUAAACCAAAUGUAUUUUUUACUUUGUUAGUUUUAUUAAUGAAAAUACUGUAGAACCAUUGUUCUAUGGUCAGGGCUUAAAAAAUGCUCAUACAACAAGUUAUCCAAGUGCAAGGAAAAUCAAGAGGUCUGUUGGGGGCAACAACACAAGACAUACCCAGAAGGAAAAAGGAAAAGCGAUAUUUCAACUCAUGGCUUUAUUUAGGUAUAAGAUACAUAAAUCCACAUUUCAACACCUGGCUUCAAACAAGACCUGUUACACAUGCACGUAAGUUUAAGGCCGGUGCGCAUAGAAACCCAUUCUCUGCAAAUACGAUUUUUUUUUUUGCGGGGAUGCAAAUACGAAUUUAACUCCAGAAUAUCCAUUGUUUGAGGAUACCGUGUCCAUGUUUUGAAAAGCCUCAUAUGAACUCAAAACAGCACACAUUUUGACACAUAAAUUGAUUCGUACUACUACAAGACAACUGCUUCUUUUUGUUUAUUAAACAUGGGCAGAAGGAUGGCUGAGACACCAAGACGAAUAAUACAAUCUCUCUCAAACGGACCCUUGUUUGUUUGUCCAUAUGUGCAGGCGCUAGCUGCUCGAUGGUGACCGAUUUUAUGCAACGGAAAGAUUCGAUGGUUCCAACUGAGCAGUGAACUGGUUGGCUUCUUCACAUGGAGUGUAAUGGAUAGAGGACAGCACGACAUUUCCACUGCACCACCAUCAACAAGCAACCAUGCCUUGAAUGGCUCCCGCCCAGGAAGAGCCGUUGGGGCUCGUCAAGCCUGCGCCACCGCCACCGCCCCCUUCCUUCUUCCUCGACCAACCCUCGAUAACCAACGGUGGCUCACAGUCACAGCAGCCGCAGGAUGACCUGGCCUUGGCAUACAUCUCGCGCAUGCUCAUGGAGGAGGACAUCACCGACAAGUUCUUCUACCAACACCCUGAGCAUCCGACGCUCCUGCAGGCCGAGCAGCCCUUCGCUGAGAUCCUCUCAGCCUCCGGCAUCGCCACAGCUGGUGCCCAUGGGUCCUCCGCUUUACUUCCAAGUCAAGGCAACAACACGGGCAUCAUGGCUUCCGCGUUCUUGUCCAGCGAGGUACAUAGUCCACCCUUGUUCUUGAACGGCACAGUCACAGCGGAGGCGCCCAGGAGCGGCGUCACCAUGGGCGACCUGUCGAGCAUGGCUUUCUUCAAAGGCAUGGAGGAGGCCAACAGCUUCUUGCCCACAGUCAAUGUGAUGGUGGAUGCUAGGGGGCGUAAGAAGAGGUCUGGCAUGGAUAGCGAGACGGAGGCGUGCAUGGGCAGGAGCAGCAAGCAAAUAGCGGUGCGGGUGCUGGCGCAUAAUGAUUCGGAGGAGGAAGAGACCGCACUUGAGCUGGACCUGCUCAUCCUCAACGGCUAUGACAUGUACUCCAAUGAGACGAUGAAGGAGAGGGGGGGCCAGGCGGCGCAUCAGAGCAUUUGCAGGAAGGCGCCGUGUGUGAGGCACAGCGCGAGGCAGAUGGUGGUGGCUGAUCUGGAAACGCUGCUGAUCCGCUGUGCGGAGGCGGUGGCUACCAAUGACCGGAGCAACGCCGGCGAUCUACUGAAGAAGAUCAAGCAGCACUCGCUACCAACAGGAGACGCAAGGCAGCGACUGGCAUAUUACUUCGCCGAGGGGCUGGAGGCACGACUGGCGGGCACAGGGAGGCAAAUAUACCACUCGAUCACCGCGGCGAAUCACACCUCCACCGUGGAGCUCUUCAAAAGCUACCACCUGUGCAUAGCCGCCUGCUGCUUCCUGAAGGUGUCGCUUAACUUCUCCAACAAAAACAUCUACAAUGCCGUGGCGGGGAGAAAGAAGCUGCACAUUGUGCACUAUGGUGUCAACGAUGGGUUCCAGUGGCCGGAUUUGCUCCGGUGGCUAGCAGACAGGGAGGGUGGGCCACCGGAGGUGAGGAUCACCGGCAUUAUUAGCCCGCAGCCUGGGCCCUGUCCGGUUAAGCAAGCCAAGGAGACAAAACGCAGGCUCAGCUACUGUGCAAGGCAGUUUGGCGUGCCAUUCAAGUUCCAUGCUAUCAUAGCCAAGUUAGAGACUGUCCACGCUGAGGACCUCGACAUCGAUCCAGACGAGGUGCUCGUCGUGAACAAUAUGUUUCAUUUCAGGACAUUGAUGGAUGAGAGCCUCACCUUUGACAUGGAAAACCCAAGGGACCUGGUGCUCAACACUAUCAGGAAGAUGAAACCAUCCAUGCUCAUCCACGCUGCUGUCAAUGGAGCAUAUAGCUCGGCGUUCUUCAUGACUCGUUUCCGCCAAGCGCUCAACAACUUCACAGCGCAGUUUGACAUGAUGGAGAGUACCAUGAUGCAGAACAAAGACAAGAUGUUACUGGUGGAGCGGCACAUUUUUGCACGCUCUGUGAUGAAUAUCAUUGCCUGUGAGGGCCCUGACCGGGUGGAGCGCCCUCAGAACUACAAGGAGUGGCAUGCGCGGAACCAGCGAGCCGGACUAAGGCAGCUGUCAUUAGACCCUGACAUUGUUAAGAUGCUCAAGGACCAAGUGAAGAAGCAGUACCACAAGCAUUUCAUGAUUGAUGAGGAUCAACGGUGGCUUCUGCUCGGAUGGAAAGGCCGGGUGCUCUACGCCCUCUCGACAUGGGUAGCUGAUGAUGCUAGUGGCUCUCAACUGGAGUAGAUGGAUGGAUUGAAGUACGAGUGAAUAUAGAUUUGCCUGUUGCACUAUCAGAUGUGUGUUUGCUCCUUUUUUGUAUGUGUAACUUGGUAACAGAGACCAUUAUAAGAUUUCAGAGAUGCAGUGAGUGCACAUAUAUCCAUUUUAAUCUGCAUUGUGAGAGACAAGAUUAUGUGGAAUCUCUGCAUAGCUUGGUCUGAUAAGGAGACUGGAUAUUUCUCUUCAAUUUUCUCAAUCAGAGAUGACAUGAUAUGUGAGAAACAGUGCGCUUGUAGGUUGUAAUGCUAACCUGGUGGAUAAUUUGGAAGGAGCGCGAUACGCACAUCUUUGACAACAAUGCCUGCGAUGCUGACCAGUUGUCUCUCGAUAUCUUUGAAGAGCUCCAGAACCAUGCAGGGACUCAGCGCACAGACGGAACCCCUUCUGCCUAAUCUGUUCAAGUCUUUAGUGCUGUAAUAGUAGCUGAAC